GACGAACGCUGGCGGCGUGCUUAACACAUGCAAGUCGAACGCGAAAGGCUCUUCGGAGCCGAGUAGAGUGGCGAACGGGUGAGUAACACGUGGGCAACCUGCCCCAAGGAGCGGGACAACCCGGGGAAACUCGGGCUAAUACCGCAUGAUUCGCCGGCACUCAAGUGCCGGCGGCAAAUGGUAGCUUCGGCCUCCGCCUUGGGAUGGGCCCGCGGCGCAUUAGCUUGUUGGUGAGGUAACGGCCCACCAAGGCGACGAUGCGUAGCUGGUCUGAGAGGACGAUCAGCCACACUGGGACUGAGACACGGCCCAGACUCCUACGGGAGGCAGCAGUGGGGAAUCUUGCGCAAUGGGCGGAAGCCUGACGCAGCAACGCCGCGUGUGGGAAGACGGCCUUCGGGUUGUAAACCACUUUCAGGGGGGACGAAGCUUCCGAGGUUAAUAGCCUACGGGGUGACGGUACCCCCAGAAGAAGCCCCGGCUAACUACGUGCCAGCAGCCGCGGUAAUACGUAGGGGGCGAGCGUUGUCCGGAAUCAUUGGGCGUAAAGCGCGUGUAGGCGGCUCGAUAAGUCCGGUGUGAAACCUUGGGGCUCAACCCCAAGCCUGCACUGGAUACUGCCGAGCUAGAGUCCGGGAGGGGAGAGCGGAAUUCCUAGUGUAGCGGUGAAAUGCGCAGAUAUUAGGAAGAACACCGGUGGCGAAGGCGGCUCUCUGGAACGGUACUGACGCUGAGACGCGAAAGCGUGGGGAGCGAACAGGAUUAGAUACCCUGGUAGUCCACGCCGUAAACGAUGGGCACUAGAUGUGGGGCGGUGUCGACUCCGUCCGUGUCGAAGCUAACGCAUUAAGUGCCCGGCCUGGGGGAGUACGGCCGCAAGGCUA
rnacentral:rRNA from 1 species